rnacentral:misc_RNA from 1 species
AAUAUUCAAGAGCGUGGAACAACCACAUACUCGUUAUUCAAGGUUUACUAUCAACUGAUUUAAUCGGUUCUUCACAGACAGGGUUAAGUGGUAAUCUCCGAUGACCAUUGCAGGCGGGCUGUUCCAAUGCUUCGGGAGAACUAUGCAAGUCCCAUUUACAUUCUUUGAUAGGGUAUGAUGGUACCACUUUGGCGGCACUGAGAGCUGCUAGGAAUUCUUCAUGAUCUAAUGGCUUCAAUCUCUUUGGUUCGUCUUCAUGUUUCUCAUGGGAUCCAAAAUGUUGCAAACUUCUUUUUAGCACCUCAUCCUUCACUUUCUGUACCAUCCGCGAGUCGAACUUGGGAAGCCCAAUUUGCCCUACAGUCAGUGAUCCGAAAAAGUUUCCCAGCAAUGCAGCAUCUGGUACUGCCAAUCCAUCAACAAGCCCUGCAACUAAACCUCCAAGAAAGCUAUCCCCAGCCCCUGUUGGAUCAACUUGAUAAGCUGGAAAAGGCGCAAUGGACAGUUCUUCAUCUUUAGAAUACACUGUACAGCCAUCUUUCCCUUUUGUCACUACUACACAACACCAUUUCCUUGCUUCCUCCACAUCCACAAAUGGUGCCUCAUCUUCGGAUGCUUUCAAAUACCCAAUUCUAUUCAACAAAGGCCAAAACCCAGUUUGAUUCAAAUGUACAAGAUUCACUGUUCCAUCAACCGGGUCAAAUACCCGAAUCAAAGCUUGGAUAUCAACAAACACCACCUUACACAUCUCAAUCAUCCGUUCAAGGGUUUCAGGCAAAAUCUCUCCACCAACACCUACAGCUAACCCAAAAUCAAAUUUUGAGUUCGGGAGAUCCGAGGGAGUCACCGGGUCACAUGCAGUGACCCGUUUUAAGAUCCGAUCUUGCCGUGUGCUUUCAGUAGAGAAAUAGGCGUGGAAAACGGUGGUUUUGG